UGAGGACAUGUGAUUUGGAUG
rnacentral:miRNA from 1 species